CGUGUAGGCGGUUUAAUAAGUCAGAUGUAAAAGCCCCCGGCUCAACCGGGGAUGGUCAUUUGAAACUGUUAGGCUUGAGUGUGAGAGAGGGUAGUGGAAUUCCCAGUGUAGCGGUGAAAUGCGUAGAUAUUGGGAAGAACACCAGUAGCGAAGGCGGCUACCUGGCUCACAACUGACGCUAAGGCGCGAAAGCGUGGGGAGCAAACAGGAUUAGAUACCCUGGUAGUCCC
rnacentral:rRNA from 1 species